UACGUAGGUGGCUAGCGUUGUCCGGAUUUAUUGGGUUUAAAGGGCGCGUAGGCGGCUUUGUAAGUCAGUGGUGAAAUAUGGCAGCUCAACUGUCAAGGUGCCAUUGAUACUGCGGAGCUUGAGUACAGAUGAGGUAGGCGGAAUUGACGGUGUAGCGGUGAAAUGCUUAGAUAUCGUCAAGAACACCUAUAGCGAAGGCAGCUUACUAGGCUGUAACUGACGCUGAGGCACGAAAGUGUGGGGAUCAAACAGG
rnacentral:rRNA from 1 species